GAUGAACGCUGGCGGCGUGCUUAACACAUGCAAGUCGAACGGAAAGGCCGAAGCUUGCUUCGGUACUCGAGUGGCGAACGGGUGAGUAACACGUGGGUGAUCUGCCCUGUACUUCGGGAUAAGCUUGGGAAACUGGGUCUAAUACCGGAUAUGACGAUCUCUUGGAUGGGGUUGUGGAAAGCUUUUGCGGUAUGGGAUGAGCUCGCGGCCUAUCAGCUUGUUGGUGGGGUAAUGGCCUACCAAGGCGUCGACGGGUAGCCGGCCUGAGAGGGUGUACGGCCACAUUGGGACUGAGAUACGGCCCAGACUCCUACGGGAGGCAGCAGUGGGGAAUAUUGCACAAUGGGCGCAAGCCUGAUGCAGCGACGCCGCGUGGGGGAUGACGGCCUUCGGGUUGUAAACUCCUUUCGCAACCGACGAAGCUUUUGUGACGGUAGGUUGAGAAGAAGCACCGGCUAACUACGUGCCAGCAGCCGCGGUAAUACGUAGGGUGCGAGCGUUGUCCGGAAUUACUGGGCGUAAAGAGCUCGUAGGUGGUUUGUCGCGUCGUUUGUGGAAUACCGCAGCUUAACUGCGGGGUUGCAGGCGAUACGGGCAUAACUUGAGUGCUGUAGGGGAGACUGGAAUUCCUGGUGUAGCGGUGGAAUGCGCAGAUAUCAGGAGGAACACCGAUGGCGAAGGCAGGUCUCUGGGCAGUAACUGACGCUGAGGAGCGAAAGCAUGGGGAGCGAACAGG
rnacentral:rRNA from 1 species